UACGAAAACCGAUUUGGAUAUGUUCUUAUAAUUCACACCACACAUGCUGGUAGAUUGGUAGUCACUACUUGGAUAUUUACAAGUUUGCAAGCCUUGUAGGAGCAGAUAUUAUGAAUGCAUGAAUGAGAUGGCUAGCUACCUGUGGAAGUCUUUGCACACCGAUUAGUCUUUGGUGGAAAAUCCUUAUGUCUAGCCGUGGAAAUCCAUAAAUCAUAAUUGAUGAAAGGGAUUGGAAGAGACAAGAGAGUGGCAAUUGGCAAUGCAGGGUUCUUAUCGUUUAGCCCGACUGGAGGAAGGGACAUGAUUUGUUCUAUUUUCUCACUGUUUGUGUAUAUACCAAGAAUCGUUCCUUAAAUCCUAAGAAUGGCAUAAUAUGUUUGCUCAAUCAAAGGGAAGCAGCACUUAAACCUUGGGUCCUUCACUUCGUUUUGAGUUGGGUUGUGAGGACAGUGGUGCGCCGGAGAGAUACAGAGAGGUGGUGUCGCUUAUGUUACUUCAAUUCCCAAACAAAAACACUUAUGUCCUUCUAUGUAAUUUUGCAAUAGAAUAAACUUGUUACUAAAAUUUUCGUUAAAAAGUGGGUGAAAAAAUUAGACAAUAAAGUGAAGCUGUAUUUUUUGUGUAGAGCAACGGCUAACUUAGCGUGCUCAAUCUGCUUGAAUUAUGAUUAAAGUGGUGACAAAAGUUGAAAAAGUGAUGUCAAUUCCCCUCCUUGGGGAAGAGGUCAUUGCUUUGACUAAACCUAACCGUUGGGUUAUUUGCAAGAAGCAUUUGGACCCAUUUUCUAACCCUGCGGUUCCACACCAAUAGUUAGAUGAUUAGUCAAUUGAUUGUACAAGUCGGCAAUACAGUUAGUAAGUUUGUUAGUAUUUGGUUAGAGUUGUUAGACUCUCUUAUAAAAACGUAACUGUGUAAUCUUUCUUUUUAAUUAAUACAAGUCACAUAUUUCUCUCUCUAAACUCUCUCUCCAAGCUCUCUGCGUUCAUCUUUCUUUUGAUUUUCUCUUCAAUUCUCAAAUAUUUCAAGGUAGUUAACACCUAUAACCCAUAAAAAAUUUUAGUGUCGUUCAAAAUCACAAAUACCCAGUUAAAUUAAAAAACUGUAGAGAUUAGUCAAAAAACACCCGAGCGGCACCAUAUCGGCUGUACCAAAUACAACAGUACCCCAAAUUUUAUGGUGGUAUCAAAUUUAUGUAUAUAAAUUUAAGUAAAUUUUUUAAUGACACUAAAGAUUAAUUCUGAACUUAUGGUACUAUCAAAUUUAUGUAUAUAGCAUACCUAUAUUAGUAUGAUUCUAAUUUUCAUCUGCUGCUUAUCAAAAAAAUUUAUAACAUAAAUUUCAAUAUGUAUGCUUACAACGCAAAAAUUUUCGUGUCGUUUCGUAAAUUACAAAUAAUUCACUAAUACUUCAUACAUGGGUUCUCUUGGCACAGAUUUGAGUUAGAAAGUCAGGAGAAUUCUAAAAUCAGCAUCAGACACUUUAGAACAAUUUGACAAAAUAGGGUGUAGAUGUGUUCUAAUAUUCCUUUCAACAAACAACAAAAAGUUAUCCCCUACAUGAAAAAAUAACAAAAAAAAAAAAAAAAAAAAAAAAACAGUUGCUAUUUGUACCGGACUAUAUCUUUUGCAGCUUCCUGCAGAAUUGAAUAGAGAAAGAGUGAUUUACGAUCAGCAUCACAUCAAACUAGCAACAUUUGUAAUAUAAUUCCAAAGUUAGUUGAAGGGCAAAAUGUUUAACCCCAAUUAUUCGAUGUAAUCCGAUACAUCGACACAGUACAGAAUUCGACAAUUGCAUUGGGUUUUAAAGAUUGCAAGAGAUUCAGUGAAAUGGUUGUCUUCUAACCCUAGCUUUUCCACUCAAAGUGCAUUUUAAUGAGCAUUACCACCACAUGAAUUGUUAUCAAUGAAUAUGAUCAGAUUUAUUUACUACUUAUGUCUCAAAAUCUAAACUGAACCAAUCAUAAUUAAUGUAGUAGUAAUGCUCACGACCACAAAGGAUCGUGAGCAAAAUGUACUCUUCCAUGCCAUAAUAGAAAGCAAACCAAAGGCUCUUCAUCAAGAAAAAUUAUUGAAACAUACUAGAACACAUCCACAUGUUAUAUUAUGAGUAGAAGAUCCAAUCUAUACUUUAGAAUAUAACAUUAAUAAUCAAUCCACGCACUAUAAUAUGUGAGAAUCAGUAUAUCAUGUAUCUGUAUUCCAAUACAUCGCAAAAUCCUUUCUUCUUUCUUUGAAAAGACCAGACAAGUGAAGCCCCAACAAAAUACGUGUUUGUCUUCUGUCAGUGGCUAAGUCAGGAAUUGUCAGGGAAUGAGCGAAAUUUAAAAGGGUAAAAGGUCCAAAAAAAUGUAGACAUCCGUAAUCGGGUAAUACUGCAAUUAGUACAUCUCAAACAUAAACACAAACACAAAUAGCGACAACCCCCAACCAAAAGAACAAUACCGUGAAAAACAUCAAAAGCAGCGAGACAACAUAAGAAUAAAUUCAUCAUACUGAAAAGGGUACGUGGAGACUGAAAGAAUAGAGGGAAUGCAUGUCAAAUCAGAAGGUGAAUUCUUAUGAAAUGCUAAAAUGCAAACCCAGCAACCAUUGACGUGCCCUUGGAGCACUUUGGAAGCAGGAAAUUUCAUCAAUCUUAGAAGCAGCUCAGCUGUCAGCUCCACAUACAACCCAUUUCCCUGAACACAAACUCCCUCUCUAGCUUAUUUCUCUUCCCCUGAUCCAAUCCGUACCCAUGCAAGCUCUUGAUCAACUCCCCACCCCCCAACACAAAAAGAAAAAAAACCCUUUUCUUUACCUUUUUUCCCCAAAAAAAAUGAAAAAAACAAACAAAACCCAACAAGCAGAAGAGCAGAAAGAUUCAAUAUUUGGAGAGAGUAAAGGGAAAACUUGGAAAAUGGGGAUGGUGGGUUUUUUUGAUACUCUCACAGUGGACCGUGGUUGAUGGUGUUCUUGAAGACCGGGAGAGAUCUCAACAAAUGGAGGUUACAGUCACAAGAAUCCAUGAAAAGAGAGAAGAAGAUCAUGGUGUUGUGGGGGUCGGAGUAGAAAAUGCAAUCGUUCCGUAUAGAGCCGAGUACUGAAGAAAAAUUGAACAAAAUACACUCCAUUUGUCCCAAAAUCACUCAUAAAACUUUACAUUAUUACAUAAAUAUCAUGGCCUUUGCAAUCCAUA